UGAGCUGUUUAAAGUUUCUCUCUUUGUUCUGUUUUUUAGCAGACUCAAGCGUAUGGAGAACAUUAGAAACUGGACACAUAUACCACAUCCACAGUAGACAUCUUCAGUGAUUUUCAUCGCUUGUAUUUAUUUUCAGAGGAAAUGCAGCUCAGCACCACCUUUAAGAUGGGCAGUUUCCAGUGGCACCACGUGGAGGAACGGACUUCGCCACCUAUAUAUACAGGCCACCGGAAGGCCAUCUUGUAAACGGGUC